rnacentral:rRNA from 1 species
UACGGAGGUGGCAAGUGUUGUUCGGAAUUACUGAUCGUAAAGGACGCGUAAGCGCCUUGUCAAGUCAGAUGUGAAAUCCCCGGGCUCAACUCUGGAAUUGCAUCUGAAACUGCUUUGCUUGACUCCUGGAGGGGAUAGUGAAAUUCCCGGUGUAUGGAUGAAAUGCGUAGAUAUUGAUAGGAAAACCUGGGGGAAAUGAGGUUAUCUGGACAGUGACUGACGCUGAGGCGCGAAAGCUAUGGGAGCGAACGGCAUUAGAUACCCCGGUAGUCCUAGCUGUAUACGAUGGGCACUUGGUGUUGGGGGUAUUGAGUCGCUCGGUGCCGGAGCUAACACCUUAAGUGUACCGCUUGGGGAGUACGGUUGCAAGUCUGAAACUCAAAGGAAUGGUCGGGGGUCCGCACAAGCGGUGGAGCAUGUGGUUCAAUUCGACGCCACGCGAAGAACCUUGCCGGGGCUCGAACGGUAUCUGUUGCCUGUGGAUACACGGGAUUCUCUUCGCAGACGGUUCUCGAGGUGCUGCAUGGCGGUUGUCAGCUCGUGUCGGGAGAUGUUGGGUUAAGUUCCGCAACGAGCGCAAUCCUUGGCGUUAGUUCCCAUCAGGUUAUGCUGGGCACCCUAAGGGAACUGUCGGCGAAAAGUCGGAGGAAGGUGGGGACGACGUCAAGUCCUCAUGGGCCUUACGUGCCGGGCUACCCACGUGCUACAAUGGCUGGUACAAAGGGUUGCUCAUCCCGCGAGGGGGAGCUACUCCCAAAAAGCCAGUCCCAGUUCGGAUUGCAGUGUGCAACUCGCCUGCAUGAAGGCGGAAUCGCUAGUAAUCGCAGAUCAGUCAUUCUGCGGUGAAUACGUUGGCCGGUGC